ACCUCCUGGAGCUCAGCAGGAGAUCGCCGAUCAAUAUUACCUCGUUUUUGCCGGAGGUGGCGGAGAAGGCCGCAGCGGCAUCCCUAACGCUAUCGUUCUCUCUCAUUUCGAUUUCGCCUCCAAUUCUCUCUCUGCCCAGCCUGCAGUUAAGCUUGGACUUGGUUCUGAUUUGCCUUAUAGAAUGGCUGUUCACCCAGGUGGAGAAGGACUGAUUUGUGCAUUGCCAAAAAGCUGUCGAUUU
rnacentral:misc_RNA from 1 species